rnacentral:siRNA from 1 species
UUCACCAUCUACCUUAAGGCA